rnacentral:hammerhead_ribozyme from 1 species
GUACUGCUGGAGUCCCACAAUAGGACGAAACGGCCGUCCAGUGC